rnacentral:rRNA from 1 species
GACGAACGCUGGCGGCGUGCUUAACACAUGCAAGUCGAACGGAAAGGCCCUGCUUUUGUGGGGUUCUCGAGUGGCCAACGGGUGAGUAACUCGUGAGUAACCUGCCCUUUACUUUGGGAUAACUUCAGGAAACUGGUGCUAAUACCGGAUAGGAGCUCCUGCUGCAUGGUGGGGGUUGGAAAGUUUCGGCGGUUGGGGAUGGACUCGCGGCUUAUCAGCUUGUUUGUGGGGUAGUGGCUUACCAAGGCUUUGACGGGUAGCCGGCCUGAGAGGGUGACCGGCGACAAUGGGACUGAGAUACGGAGCAGAGUGCAACGGGAGGCAGCAGUGGGGAAUAUUGCACAAUGGGAGGAAGCCUGAUGAAGCAACGCCGCGAGCGGGAUGACGGCCUUCGGGUUGUAAACCGCAUUAGCAUGUGACGAAGAGUGAGUGACGGUAAUGGGUAAAGAAGCACCGGCUAACUACGUG